rnacentral:lncRNA from 1 species
UUGAUGGGGAGACAGAACCGGAAACAUUAUUUAUGCACGCGAAUAAUCAUAGACGAUGGAGGAUAGCCCAAACAAUUGAGAGAUCGAGCUUUAACUUAUGUUUUGGGCUUUAUUUAUAUGAACUUUUAGAUGAGUUUUAUUAAUUUGUCUUUAUUUUAUUGGGCUUGAUUUAAUUAUUGUUAAGUAUUUUAUUUAGUGGGCUAUAAGCCCAAUUGCUUAUUGUAGUUAGGGUUUUUAGUAUAAAUACCCUACUUUUCUAAAUGUUAAGGGACUUUGAAUGAUUAAUGAAAAUUUGCAAGUUUUGCAUCCCUCCAAUCCCCCUCUCUUCCUCUUCUUUAGCUUCUUUCUUUCUCUAAAGUUUCUUUCUUUUCUUGCUUUAAUUCUUUUUAUUUGUUGUCCCGCGU